rnacentral:lncRNA from 1 species
ACCGUCAUUCAAUUUAGAUUAUCUUUUUUGAUUAAUCUUUAAAAAUAUUAAAAAAAAACAAAAACCUCUUUCUAGUUAACAUUUAAAAUCUGUCGUAUAUACUUAUAGCAAAAUUAAAGUAGAUAUUUUCCCACAACUGCAGCUUCUAAAGACAUAUGUCCUUAAUCACCCAUAUAGCUAGCGGGUCAUGCCAUGAUUAACAUCAAAGGUCAUGAUUUAAAAUUGAGUCGUUCCUAUGAAUAAAAGCC